ACUGAUGUUCCAUAGAACAUAGUUUAGGGAACACAGCUGUAAAGCUCAAAAACUUUUCAAUUGUUUGAAUAAUGCUAGUCACUUUUGUAAUUUAAUUUAAGUAAAUUUAACCUGUCCCAAUUAGGCCAUGGUCCCUUCAAAUUUCCGAAAUGUGUAUGGCAUUGAGAUGGUUAAUGAAUUCAGUUUACUCAAAGGUAAAUUCAUGGCAAGCUCUUGAAAUGGGCAAGCAGAACUCUUUUCUACAAUUGUGCUAUCAUGCUGGCAGCUCCAAUUUAUCAAGCUUAAAGUAUUGCCAAUUUUGCUGUUCAAAUCUCUAUGCUAGAGUAAUUGGAUUUGCAAACCAGGAACUGGUACCCAACAGCACACCAUCAUGACUACCAUCAUUACUUCUACUACCAUUAACACCAUUUAAUGACUGUACUAUGAACCAGGCACUGUGGUAAAAUUAUUACAUAUAUUAUCUUACUUAAUGCUCACAGCAAUUCUUUAAGAUAGGGUUUUACAUAUGAGGAAAUUGAGUUUAUGAGAGACUGAGUAACAUUUGAACUUGGUUCUUUCAGAUUCCAAAACAUACACACUGUACUCCAUGAGUUUAGGCACAGUCCCUAGUGGGUACCUAUGCACAUAUAUGUAUAAGAAAUCACAUACAUGUGUUUUUUUACUCCUUUGGGUAUCUUUUGGCCAGAUGGUGAGAGUCCUUUCAUCUUGUGGUGGUUGGGUAGGUUCUCUUACCAAGUCCAGAAAGCACGAACAUCAAAUAUAGGCAGUCCUCACUUUGCAAGGUUCUGAUAUGAAGAGAUUUCAGUUACUAUGGUUUACUUAAACAGUACCAGUACCCAACACCGUGCUUCAGAUUUCACUUACCAUGGUAUAUUAACUGUAAGUAAUUGCAUAAAGUAUAAACUUCACUGCUAGCUGUUCAGUCCAUGAAUCAUAUGCAAAUAACAAAUGUGUAUCAUGAUCAGUGACCAGUCACAUCACUUUUUCAAACUCUGUCAGUGACUGAUCGUCGAGCAUCUGUUAUUCAGCUCAUGUACAGACAUCAAAGUGUAUUGUAGUGUUGUCUAUUUGUCUUUUUUUUCCACUCAUCAAAUACUUACUGCACAUUCACUAUGUACUGGGCAUCAUACUGAGUGCCAGAGAUCAAGUGGUGAACAAAACACCCUUCCAGGGGCAGAUGUAUGGUGAAUUUGGGAGACUGACAAAGCCACAUGGCAUUUUACCAAGUGGAUAAUCACAAAAGAGAAUUGACCAACAAAGACGAAAUUGCAACAAAGCAAUGAAAAGUGAUAAUGCUGGAAGUGAAAUUCAAAUCAAACUUAAGUGAAGUUAUAGAAGAAAUAAGUGACUGAGAGAAUGGUGACACUGUCCUUAUUCAGGAGACUCUGAGUGUGCAGGCAAAGGAACUUAGUGAAGGCAAACUCAGCAUAAAUGAGGAAAGUGGUCGUGAUGAAAAAGAUGGACAUGUACCAGAUGAAGCAGCAUUGGCAAAAAAUUUCACAUUAAAGGAACGUGCAGAGAUAUUUCACAACAUUAACAUCGCAAAGGAUAAAAAAUUGCAAGAUGAUCUAUACUUAGAAAGGAGUAUGACAAUUUGUCAAGGCAUAGAAAAGAUGCUAAUGAGUAUAUGAGAAGGAGGGAAGUACUGCCAAACUAUUCUUAGUGAGUUUUUUACAAAGGAAUAAAACACAUGAUUGUUUCUAAUGUUUUAAAUUA
rnacentral:lncRNA from 1 species